GCCCAAUGAGAGUUUAAAUGGCCGCGGUAAAUUGACCGUGCAAAGGUAGCAUAAUCAUUAGUUUUUUAAUUGGAAGCUGGAAUGAACGGUUGGACGAGGGAAUAACUGUCUCAAUUUAAUUUAAUUAGAAUUUUAUUUUUAAGUAAAAAAGCUUAAAUAAUUUUAAAAGACGAGAAGACCCUAUAGAGUUUUAUAUGAGUAUAUAAGUAGGUAAAUAGGUAUAAUCUAUUCUAUUUAAAUAUUAAUAUUUUGUUGGGGUGACAGAAAAAUUUAAUUAACUUUUUUUUUAUUAAAUCAUUAAUUUAUGAUUCAAUGAUCCGUUUAAGAACGAUUACAAGAUUAAAUUACCUUAGGGAUAACAGCGUAAUUUUUUUUAAGAGUUCUAAUCGAAAAAAGAGUUUGCGACCUCGAUGUUGGAUUAAAAUUAAUUUUUGGUGUAGGGGCUAAAAAAAUUAGGUCUGUUCGACCUUUAAAAUUUUACAUGAUCUGAGUUUAAACCGGCGUGAGCCAGGUUGGUUUCUAUCUUUAAAAAAAUAGGAUAUUUUAGUACGAAAGGACCUAAUAUUCAUUAUAUUAAUUAGUUUUUGAUUAUUAUUG
rnacentral:rRNA from 1 species